AGGCCUGUGGCUCCUCCCUCAG
rnacentral:miRNA from 1 species